GGGAGCUUUGGGGACGCACUUGUGGAUGCCUAGGCCUCUUCCGUUUGCCUCUGGGACUGGCGAUACUCGAGAUGUCUUGAGGCCUUCCAGACCUUGCUCCACCUCCACCACCAGGUCUCCAGUCCUGAGCCACAUGCUGCCAUUUUUGUCUCAGAAGCACCCCUCUUCCAGGUGGAAGAUUGAAGGUCUGAAGAGUGGGAAGACCCAGGAACAGGCAAGUCCAGGAAGAUAUGAGGAAAAUCAAGAAAGAGAAGGAAACUGAAGCUAGUGGGAAGUGCUUCAAGUUGGAGAUGAUGCUGAGAUGGCCAAAAAGUGAGAGGUGGAAAACAUUUGGAGUGAGUUAAGGAGAGAACGCGAGGCAAGGAAGUGAAGCCGAGUGAGUUGGGAGUGGGGUGCAGGGGCCUUUGGCCACCCCAGGCUCUUUCUAUGUGAACAUUCUGAGACUGAUUCUGAUUUUUUUCCCCUCCCAAAUUGCUCUCUUUUCCUUUCUUCACCUACUUACUCCCUGGUCAUCCUUCCUUUGGGUCAGUGAAGUUGCUGGUUCUUUAGGGAACACUUCUCUGAUUGCUGAAGCUAAUAGUCUCUCCCUGCAGUUGCCGGUUGUUUCCAAUAGUUGACUAGUUUUC
rnacentral:lncRNA from 1 species